rnacentral:rRNA from 1 species
AUACGGAGGGUGCAAGCGUUGUUCGGAAUCACUGGGCGUAAAGGGCGCGCAGGCGGUUUGGUAAGUCAGAUGUGAAAGCCCACGGCUCAACCGUGGAAGUGCAUUUGAAACUGUCAGACUUGAGUACUAGAGGGGAAAGUGGAAUUCCCGGUGUAGAGGUGAAAUUCGAAGAUAUCGGGAGGAAUACCGGUGGCGAAGGCGACUUUCUGGCUAGAUACUGACGCUGAGGCGCGAAAGCGUGGGGAGCAAACAGGAUUAGAAACCCUAGUAGUCC